rnacentral:rRNA from 1 species
GACGAACGCUGGCGGCGUGCUUAACACAUGCAAGUCGAACGGAAAGGCCCUGCUUUUGUGGGGUGCUCGAGUGGCGAACGGGUGAGUAACACGUGAGUAACCUGCCCUUGACUUUGGGAUAACUUCAGGAAACUGGGGCUAAUACCGGAUAGGAGCUCCUGCUGCAUGUUGGGGGUUGGAAAGUUUCGGCGGUUGGGGAUGGACUCGCGGCUUAUCAGCUUGUUGGUGGGGUAGGGGCUUACCAAGGCUUUGACGGGUAGCCGGCCUGAGAGGGUGACCGGCCACAUUGGGACUGAGAUACGGCCCAGACUCCUACGGGCGGCAGCAGUGGGGAAUAUUGCACAAUGGGCGGAAGCCUGAUGCAGCAACGCCGCGUGCGGGAUGACGGCCUUCGGGUUGUAAACCGCUUUCGCCUGUGACGAAGCGUGAGUGACGGUAAUGGGUAAAGAAGCACCGGCUAACUACGUG